AGCAGAGGAGAGACUUCUGGUGUGAAGGGCAGAGCGAUCCUGAACACUAGGCUGGUUGGUUUGAUCUGGUGGACACCAACACAAAUCCAGUCCCUCAUAAGCUAGAGCGCUUCCAUGUACAGAAUAGUAUGCAGCCUUCUGCAGUUCACCCAUGAAGCCAUGUCAUGAGGAAGAACUAGAAUUCCCAACAAGUGUUGAGUGUAUGCAAGCAGCCUUAAAGGAUUACGACUCCUACUCUACAGCGAUGAGGAAUUAUGAGCACCCCAUCAAAGUCUAAUAAAUAUUGAUAGACUUUAAUGAAGGACACUGGAACUAGGGAGAAUCCAACAGACUCUGUACCCAUUAAGGAAGCCAAAUGACAUUUAAGACAAGCGCGACUCUGAAGAAAUGCUUUUUGAACUCGUUAAUUCUUGAGGAGAGGCAGAGGCUGUAAGCAGAGCUUUAAAUAAGAGUUUGAUAGAUGAAUGUAACAGGCUUAAAGGAAAGACAAAUAGACAAAUGACUCCCCCCUCCACGUGGUCUGACAGCUACUGUUCUGCAUGGGCAUGCAGUCCCUCUGGUGACAAGGAGCUCCUGUUGAAACUGCUGUCACCAUGGGCUGAAUAUAUUGAAGCCUAACCCCCAGCACUUCAGAAUGCAACCACAUGUGAUGACAGCAUGCCUACAGAGGUGAUUAAGGUAAAAUGAGGUCAUUAGGAUGGACCCUAAUCCAGCAUGACGAAUAUCCUGCUAAUAAGGGUAAACUUGGACACAGACACAGAGAAGGAAGAUGGUGCAAAGACAAAGGGAGAAGAUGGCCAUUUUCUUUUCUUUAUUUUUUCUUUUUUUUAAGGACCACACCUGUGGCAUAUGGAGGUUCCCGGGCUAGGGGUCAAAUCGGAGCUAUAGCAGCCCAUGUAUGCCAUAGCCAUGGCAAUGCCAGAUCUGAGGCACAUCUGCAACCGAUGCUGCAGCUUGUGGCAAGCUGGAUUCUUAACCCACUGAGCGAGGUCAGGGAUUGAACCAGCAUCCUCAGGGAUACUAGUCGGGUUCAUUACCACCAGGCCUCAACAGGAACUCCAAGAUGGCCGUGUUCAAGCCAAGGAGCGAGGCCUGGAGUAGAUCCUCCCACCAUGGCCCUCACAAGGAACCAGCCCAGAGGUCACCUUGAUCUUGGACUUUCAGCCUCCAGAAUUGUGAGAUGAUACAUUUCUGCUGUUCAAGCCCCCUCAUUCUGUGGUACGGUUAUAGUGCCCCAAGCUGACUAAUGUAGUCGUAACACAUAUCUUUAUUUCAUUUACUUAACAAACACCUAUAUAGAGCUUACUAGAGGCCAGGCAUGCUUUAUGCCCUUUAUGAAUAUUGAUUUAAUCCUCACAACAGCUCUAGGAGGUAGGGACUCUGGUCCCCAUUUUACAGAUGGCAUAACCAAAGCAUGUGGAGAUUAAGUACCCUGCCCAAAGUCUCCUACUUGGUUAGUAAAGGAGGUAGGAUAGGAAUCUGGGCAGCCUGACUCAAGUCCGUGUGCUGAAACCCCACUCCACACCAGCUCUUCUUUUGUCUCCUAGGAUUUAAACAGGGGUUCCAAAUACAGGUUAAAAUGUGAAAACGUGUCUCUACUGUGUGUGUGUGUGUGUGUGUGUGUGUGUGUGUGUGUGUGUGUGUGUGUGUGUUUAAAUCUAAUGCCACAGCAUCCCUUGCUGCCAAGCAGACAGAAUUCGCAUUUCAUAAUGUUUUUCUAGAUUUUUAAACCUCACAUCAAGGAAAACAAUCCCAGAUUCCUGCAAAAUAUUUGCUGCUCUUUCACGAGAGGCAGACCAUCAGCCUCCUGAGGCUUUGGCUCGGCAAUUCUUACUUACCUGGCAACAUUCCAUAGAGCUCUGAGGGGAGCGAUGUUGUCUUCUCUGCUGGCCUGCAGAUAACUUCUAAUUUAGAAGAACGUGAAGAACUGCAUGAAAGACAGGGCUCUGCCAGCACAGCACAGGGUGGAGGCAGAGGGCUUUUGUGACGGUGCCCUGGGCUGUCAAUGGACCAUCAUCCAUCACACGUGCAGCUGCUUAACAUCGACGUGCGAGAAAAAUCUUUCUACAAAAUCAACCAGAGGAGCCACAUUUAAUUACUGAACAUUUUAGAAGGGGAGAACCUGGGUGGGGGGGGGGGCGAUCACUGCAGGGACAGGAGGAACUCUUCAUCCUAGGCCAGAAAAGCAAGGGUUUUGAAGCUUCGUGUUGUCCUGGUGGCAUUUUCCAUGAGGAGCAUCAGAAGCUGGGUCUCAGAGUGGUGGGGAGAGUUAAUUCCUUUCUAGUUAUUAAAGGGAAGGAAAGUACACAUGUCCAACCUGUUCAACACACACCGUGCCACACGCUUUCCCACACCCUACCCUUGAGAGUUUCAGGUUGAAAGGCUUUGUUUGCAGUCCUUCGUUGCUCAGAGUCUUGAGUGGAGGCGCCAGAAACACACCUCUUUACUCUUUCCCAUUUCAGCUGACUCACCCGGGGCCUUAAUGGAGGUGACCGUGAGAGGCCGAGGUAGGGCAUCAGAGGCCCAGGUGGUGCCAGCAAAAGUUUAGACCUCCAUGAAUCAACAUACUUAGUGAUGGAAAAGAUAGCGCGUGGGAAGGACGUCCUAGUUUACAUACGUUUGGGAGCUUUUCCCUUCCCUCAAGAUGAUACUGGAACCCGAGUUACACAAUGAGCAUCUUGGGAAACGGCGAGCAACAGGGGCUUUUUCAACUCUGACCGAGGAGAGAAAGAGAGGAAAGAAAGCCAAAGUAUGAGUGGCGAGAAGGGGGCAGUGGCCUGUGACCUCUCCUAUACCAUUUCCUCUCACGUCCAGUGAAAAGCUUGGUUUCUUUAAAAUGAUCUGUGUGGUUUUCUAUCCUGUUCUAAUAGGAGGCAAUGACAAUUUUUUUUUUCCCCUCAAGUUAUCUCUGAUAUUUCCAAACAGGCCCCAGUCCCAGAAUUUCCACGGCAGAGAAAUCCUAAGCAAGCUUGUUGGCAAGUCUCUCCUGUUGAUCUGGGAGCUGCUCUGCCCCAGGUGUUCUAAUGUUGACAUGCGCUGCGGGAAGGCAACUUAGAACACCUGAGAACAAAAGGAGAAAAACAUUAUGAAACGUGAUUUCUACCUGGGAUAUGCCAGAUAGGAAGGAAACAAGUCUUUUGUAAGGAAGCAGGUCUCAGCCUGAAUCUCAGUGCUCCAAUAAAGAAUGCCAAGAGGGUGGUGGUGGUAGUGAUGGUGGUGCUGGUGCUGGUACUGGUGGUGGCUGGUGGUGAUGGUAGUACUGGUGGUGGUGGUGAUGGUGGUGGCUGGUGGUACUGGUGAUGAUGACAGUGGUGCUGGUGGUGGCUGGUGGUGGUGGUGCUGGUGUGGGUGCUAGUGGUGCCACUAGUGCUGGUGGUACAGAAAGAGGGAUAAGAAUUUCUGAAUGAGAACACCUGGCUCUAGAGAAGUAGCCUGAUGCAUUGCCACUAGGUACCAGCACUAUCGAACCCGUGGCAGGGUCGUGGCUCAUUCUGGUGUGGUCCAUUCACUUCAGGCAAACAUAAAAGCAAGGUCAGAUCCACCCACAUCAAGACUGUGAGAAAACUUCAUGAGAAGCCAGGGAACUGGGAAACAUUUCUAUAGAUGAAAGCUUUGUAGAUUUGUGAUAUCUUUGGAGAUGUGCUAGAGGAUGAAAUUAUAGGUAAGGUCAAAACUGGGUUCAGCUUCUUCCCUGGGUAGUUUAACUCACAUUAAAGGCUUUGGAGAGUUCUAGUUCUUUGCGUCAUGCUGAAGACAAAAAAAAAAAAAAAAAAAAAAAAAAAAANCUGCCUUCCACCCCAAACUGAAGUUCUUUAUCACUCGUUUACAGAGAUACCAUGACAACGUAGCAGGUAGCUUUAUGCUCCUUCAGGUCCUUCUGACUUGAAUAGCAACAUUGCUAGUUUAUCAUUUCAAGUUAAGUCAGGCAAUACCUGCUAUGCAGGAUUUCUAAGCAAAAUGAUUUACUGCAAGAAACUAUCAAUUGCCUGUCUGCCUUGGUGGCUGUAAAUAGAUUGUCAAAAACCAGAUAUGUGAAAGGAAAAUAUUUGUGAAAUAAAAUCAGAGUUUCUGCUCCCUCCA
rnacentral:lncRNA from 1 species